UACGUAGGGUGCAAGCGUUGUUCGGAUUUAUUGGGCGUAAAGAGCUCGUAGGCGGCUCGUUGCGUCGGCUGUGAAAACCCGCAGCUCAACUGUGGGCUUGCAGCCGAUACGGGCGGGCUGGAGUUCGGUAGGGGAGACUGGAAUUCCUGGUGUAGCGGUGAAAUGCGCAGAUAUCAGGAGGAACACCAACGGCGAAGGCAACACUCUGGGCCGGUACUGACGCUGAGGAGCGAAAGCGUGGGGAGCAAACAGG
rnacentral:rRNA from 1 species